rnacentral:rRNA from 1 species
GACGAACGCUGGCGGCGUGCCUAAUACAUGCAAGUAGAACGCUGAAGGAGGAGCUUGCUUCUCUGGAUGAGUUGCGAACGGGUGAGUAACGCGUAGGUAACCUGCCUGGUAGCGGGGGAUAACUAUUGGAAACGAUAGCUAAUACCGCAUAAGAGUAGAUGUCGCAUGACAUUUGCUUAAAAGGUGCAAUUGCAUCACUACCAGAUGGACCUGCGUUGUAUUAGCUAGUUGGUGAGGUAACGGCUCACCAAGGCAACGAUACAUAGCCGACCUGAGAGGGUGAUCGGCCACACUGGGACUGAGACACGGCCCAGACUCCUACGGGAGGCAGCAGUAGGGAAUCUUCGGCAAUGGACGGAAGUCUGACCGAGCAACGCCGCGUGAGUGAAGAAGGUUUUCGGAUCGUAAAGCUCUGUUGUAUGAGAAGAACGAGUGUGAGAGUGGAAAGUUCACACUGUGACGGUAUCUUACCAGAAAGGGACGGCUAACUACGUG